UACGGGGGGGGCAAGCGUUGUUCGGAAUUACUGGGCGUAAAGGGCGCGUAGGCGGCCUGCUAAGUCGGACGUGAAAUCCCCGGCUCAACCGGGGAACUGCGUCCGAUACUGGUGGGCUCGAAUCCGGGAGAGGGAUGUGGAAUUCCAGGUGUAGCGGUGAAAUGCGUAGAUAUCUGGAGGAACACCGGUGGCGAAGGCGGCAUCCUGGACCGGUAUUGACGCUGAGGCGCGAAAGCCAGGGGAGCAAACGGG
rnacentral:rRNA from 1 species